rnacentral:rRNA from 1 species
GGAAUUUUGGACAAUGGGGGCAACCCUGAUCCAGCCAUGCCGCGUGUGUGAAGAAGGCCUUCGGGUUGUAAAGCACUUUCGGACGGAACGAAAUCGCGCGAUCCAAUACAUCGCGUGGAUGACGGUACCGUAAGAAGAAGCACCGGCUAACUACGUGCCAGCAGCCGCGGUAAUACGUAGGGUGCGAGCGUUAAUCGGAAUUACUGGGCGUAAAGUGUGCGCAGGCGGCCGCGCAAGUCGAGUGUGAAAGCCCCGGGCUUAACUUGGGAAUUGCGCUCGAAACUACGUGGCUGGAGUAUGGCAGAGGAAGGUGGAAUUCCACGUGUAGCGGUGAAAUGCGUAGAGAUGUGGAGGAACACCGAUGGCGAAGGCAGCCUUCUGGGCCAAUACUGACGCUCAUGCACGAAAGCGUGGGGAGCAAACAGGAUUAGAUACCCCUG